rnacentral:rRNA from 1 species
CCCUUAGAUGUUCUGGGCUGCACACGUGCUACACUGGCAGGUUCAGCGAGCUUCAUGCCCUGAUCUGAAAGGAAUGGGAAAUCUUUUCAAAACCUGCCGUGCUUGGGAUAGAUGUUUGCAAUUAUUCAUCUUCAACGAGGAUUGCCUUGUAAGCGCACGUCAUCAGCGUGCAUUGAAUACGACCCUGUAUUCUGUACACACCGCCCGUCGCUCCUACCGAUUGAAGUUUUCGGUGAGUUGACAGGAAGAUUUUUUUGAAACUGGUUCGCCAGUGGAUUUUAGAUCCAAAUGCCAACGAAUCGAUGGCUUUAGAGGAAGGAGAAGUCGUAACA